CCUACGGGUGGCUGCAGUGGGGAAUAUUGGGCAAUGGGCGCAAGCCUGACCCAGCAACGCCGCGUGAAGGAAGAAGGCUUUCGGGUUGUAAACUUCUUUUCUCAGGGACGAAGAAAGUGACGGUACCUGAGGAAUAAGCGUCGGCUAACUACGUGCCAGCAGCCGCGGUAAUACGUAGGUGGCAAGCGUUAUCCGGAUGUGUUGGGUGUAAAGGGCGUGUAGGCGGGAGGGCAAGACAGAUGGGAAAACUUAGGGCUCAACCCUGAGCCUGCAUUUGAAACUGUUGAUCUUGAGUACUGGAGAGGCAGACGGAAGUCCUAGUGUAGCGGUGAAAUGCGUAGAUAGUAGGAGGAACACCAGUGGCGAAGGCAGGCUGCUGGACAGCAACUGACGGUGAGGCGCGAAAGCGUGGGGAGCAAACAGGAUUAGAUACCCGUGUAGUC
rnacentral:rRNA from 1 species